rnacentral:rRNA from 1 species
UGGGGAAUAUUGCACAAUGGAGGAAACUCUGAUGCAGCGACGCCGCGUGAGUGAAGAAGGUCUUCGGAUCGUAAAACUCUGUCCUUGGUGACGAAAAAAAUGACGGUAGCCAAGGAGGAAGCCCCGGCUAACUACGUGCCAGCAGCCGCGGUAAUACGUAGGGGGCGAGCGUUGUCCGGAUUUACUGGGCGUCAAGGGUGAGUAGGCGGUAAUAUGUGUCAGAUGUAAAAGGCUAUGGCUUAACCAUAGUUGGCAUUUGAAACUGUAUUACUUGAGUGCAGGAGAGGUAAGUGGAAUUCCUAGUGUAGCGGUGAAAUGCGUAGAUAUUAGGAGGAACACCAGUGGCGAAGGCGACUUACUGGACUGUAACUGACGCUGAGUCACGAAAGCGUGGGUAGCAAACA